rnacentral:rRNA from 1 species
AGAGUUUGAUCAUGGCUCAGGAUGAACGCUGGCGGCGUGCCUAACACAUGCAAGUCGAACGAUGGCAGCAAUGUCAUAGUGGCGCACGGGUGAGGAACACGUAGCUGACCUGCCUUACAGCGCGGGACAACCGGUCGAAAGACCUGCUAAUACCGCAUACGGUUCACGUGAUUAGAAGGCGUGAAAGAAAGGCGCAAGCCACUGUGAGAGGGGGCUGCGACCCAUCAGGUAGUUGGGGUGGUAAAAGCACACCAAGCCGACGACGGGUAGCGGGUCUGAGAGGAUGACCCGCCACACUGGGACUGAGACACGGCCCAGACUCCUACGGGAGGCAGCAGUGAGGGAUAUUGCACAAUGGGGGCAACCCUGAUGCAGCGACGCCGCGUGGGUGAUGAAGGACUUCGGUUCGUAAAACCCUUUUACAGGUGACGAGACAAGGACGGUAGCCUGUGAAUAAGCCUCGGCUAACUACGUGCCAGCAGCCGCGGUAAUUC